UACAAAGAUCCCAAGCGUUGUUCGGAUUCACUGGGCGUAAAGGGUGCGUAGGCGGUGAGGCAAGUCUGAUGUGAAAGCUCGGAGCUUAACUCCGAAAUGGCAUUGGAAACUGCCUUGCUCGAGGGUCGGAGGGGAGACUGGAAUACUUGGUGUAGCAGUGAAAUGCGUAGAUAUCAAGUGGAACACCAGUGGCGAAGGCGAGUCUCUGGACGAUUCCUGACGCUGAGGCACGAAAGCCAGGGGAGCAAACGGG
rnacentral:rRNA from 1 species